GAUGAACGCUAGCUACAGGCUUAACACAUGCAAGUCGAGGGGUAACGAGAGGAAAGCUUGCUUUCCUUGUCGACGACCGGCGCACGGGUGAGUAACGCGUAUCCAACCUGCCCCCAACUAGGGAAUAACCUUGCGAAAGUAAGACUAAUACCCUAUAAUUUCCUCAGAUGUCAUCUGACGAGGAAUAAAGAUUUAUCGGUUGUGGAUGGGGAUGCGUCUGAUUAGCUUGUUGGCGGGGUAACGGCCCACCAAGGCAACGAUCAGUAGGGGUUCUGAGAGGAAGGUCCCCCACAUUGGAACUGAGACACGGUCCAAACUCCUACGGGAGGCAGCAGUGAGGAAUAUUGGUCAAUGGGCGGAAGCCUGAACCAGCCAAGUAGCGUGCAGGAUGACGGCCCUAUGGGUUGUAAACUGCUUUUAUACAGGGAUAAAGUUAACCACGUGUGGUUAUUUGUAGGUACUGUAUGAAUAAGGACCGGCUAAUUCCGUGCCAGCCGCCGCCGUAA
rnacentral:rRNA from 1 species